rnacentral:rRNA from 1 species
UUGAACGCUGGCGGCAUGCCUUACACAUGCAAGUCGAACGGCAGCACGGGGGCGACCCUGGUGGCGAGUGGCGAACGGGUGAGUAACGCAUCGGAACGUACCCGGAAGUGGGGGAUAACGUAGCGAAAGUUACGCUAAUACCGCAUAUUCUGUGAGCAGGAAAGAGGGGGAUCGCAAGACCUCUCGCUUCCGGAGCGGCCGAUGUCGGAUUAGCUAGUUGGCGGGGUAAAGGCCCACCAAGGCGACGAUCCGUAGCGGGUCUGAGAGGAUGAUCCGCCACACUGGGACUGAGACACGGCCCAGACUCCUACGGGAGGCAGCAGUGGGGAAUUUUGGACAAUGGGCGCAAGCCUGAUCCAGCCAUGCCGCGUGAGUGAAGAAGGCCUUCGGGUUGUAAAGCUCUUUCAGACGGAAAGAAAUCGGGCGGGUGAAUAGCCUGCCUGGAUGACGGUACUGUCAGAAGAAGCACCGGCUAACUACGU